GAUGAGCGCUGGCGGCGUGCCUAAUACAUGCAAGUCGAGCGAACAGACGAGGAGCUUGCUCCUCUGACGUUAGCGGCGGACGGGUGAGUAACACGUGGAUAACCUACCUAUAAGACUGGGAUAACUUCGGGAAACCGGAGCUAAUACCGGAUAAUAUAUUGAACAGCAUGGUUCAAUAGUGAAAGACGGUUUUGCUGUCACUUAUAGAUGGAUCCGCGCCGCAUUAGCUAGUUGGUAAGGUAACGGCUUACCAAGGCAACGAUGCGUAGCCGACCUGAGAGGGUGAUCGGCCACACUGGAACUGAGACACGGUCCAGACUCCUACGGGAGGCAGCAGUAGGGAAUCUUCCGCAAUGGGCGAAAGCCUGACGGAGCAACGCCGCGUGAGUGAUGAAGGUCUUCGGAUCGUAAAACUCUGUUAUUAGGGAAGAACAAAUGUGUAAGUAACUAUGCACGUCUUGACGGUACCUAAUCAGAAAGCCACGGCUAACUACGUG
rnacentral:rRNA from 1 species